rnacentral:rRNA from 1 species
AGAGUUUGAUCCUGGCUCAGGACGAACGCUGGCGGCGUGCCUAACACAUGCAAGUCGAGCGAUGAAGUUCCUUCGGGAAAUGGAUUAGCGGCGGACGGGUGAGUAACACGUGGGUAACCUGCCUUAUAGUGGGGGAUAGCCUUUCGAAAGGAAGAUUAAUACCGCAUAAGAUUGUAGUAUCGCAUGAUAUAGCAAUUAAAGGAGUAAUCCGCUAUAAGAUGGACCCGCGUCGCAUUAGCUAGUUGGUGAGGUAAUGGCUCACCAAGGCGACGAUGCGUAGCCGACCUGAGAGGGUGAUCGGCCACAUUGGGACUGAGACACGGCCCAGACUCCUACGGGAGGCAGCAGUGGGGAAUAUUGCACAAUGGGCGAAAGCCUGAUGCAGCAACGCCGCGUGAGUGAUGACGGCCUUCGGGUUGUAAAACUCUGUCUUCAGGGACGAUAAUGACGGUACCUGAGGAGGGAGCCACGGCUAACUACGU